UACGGAGGAUCCGAGCGUUAUCCGGAUUUAUUGGGUUUAAAGGGAGCGUAGGCGGACUAUUAAGUCAGCUGUGAAAGUUUGCGGCUCAACCGUAAAAUUGCAGUUGAUACUGGUCGUCUUGAGUGCAGUAGAGGUAGGCGGAAUUCGUGGUGUAGCGGUGAAAUGCUUAGAUAUCACGAAGAACUCCGAUUGCGAAGGCAGCUUACUGGACUGUAACUGACGCUGAUGCUCGAAAGUGUGGGUAUCAAACAGGAUUAGAUACCCUGGUAGUCCACACAGUAAACGAUGAAUACUCGCUGUUUGCGAUAUACGGCAAGCGGCCAAGCGAAAGCAUUAAGUAUCCCACCUGGGGAGUACGCCGGCAACGGUGAAACUCAAAGGAAUUGACGGGG
rnacentral:rRNA from 1 species